rnacentral:rRNA from 1 species
CCUACGGGGGGCUGCAGUGGGGAAUAUUGCACAAUGGGCGCAAGCCUGAUGCAGCCAUGCCGCGUGUGUGAAGAAGGCCUUCGGGUUGUAAAGCACUUUCAGCGGGGAGGAAGGCGUUAAGGUUAAUAACCUUGUCGAUUGACGUUACCCGCAGAAGAAGCACCGGCUAACUCCGUGCCAGCAGCCGCGGUAAUACGGAGGGUGCAAGCGUUAAUCGGAAUUACUGGGCGUAAAGCGCACGCAGGCGGUCUGUCAAGUCGGAUGCGAAAUCCCCGGGCUCAACCUGGGAACUGCAUUCGAAACUGGCAGGCUAGAGUCUUGUAGAGGGGGGUAGAAUUCCAGGUGUAGCGGUGAAAUGCGUAGAGAUCUGGAGGAAUACCGGUGGCGAAGGCGGCCCCCUGGACAAAGACUGACGCUCAGGUGCGAAAGCGUGGGGAGCAAACAGGAUUAGAUACCCGGGUAGUC